UUUAAGAUUCAAGUCAGGCAGCAGGCGCCCACCUGGAGAAUGAGAGAAUUUAUUGCAAGUAUUAAGUCAGUAGCAACGCCCACCUGGAGAAUGAGGGAAUUUAUUUCAAGUUUUAAGUCAUCAGGCACCCACCUAGAGAAUGAGAGAAUUUAUUUCAAGUUUUAAGUCAUCAGGCGCCUACCUGGAGAACGAGGGAAUUUAUUUCAAGUUUUAAGUCAUCAGGCGCCCACCUGGAGAACGAGAGAAUUCAUUUCAAGUGUUAAGUCAACAUCAGGCACCCACCUGGAAAACGAGGGAAUUUAUUUCAAGUUUUAAGUCAUCAGACGCCCACCUGGAGAACGAGGGAAUUCAUUUCAGGUUUUAAGUCAGCAUCAAGCACCCACCUGGAAAACGAGGGAAUUCAUUUCAAGUUUUUAAGUCAGCAGGCGCCCACCUGGAGAAUGGGAAAUUUAUUUCAAGUUUUAAGUAAGCAUUAGGUGCCCACCUGGAGAAUGGGGGAAUUCAUUUCAAGUGUAAGUCAUUGGGCGCCCACCUGGAGAAUGAGGGAAUUCAUUUCAGGUUUUAAGUCAGCAUCAAGCGCCCACCUGAAGAACGAGGGAAGUCAUUUCAGAAUUUAAUUCAAGUUAGAAGUAGCAGAAGCCCGCCUCAAGAAUGCGAGCUGGCAGUCCGAGAUGACCAAAGGAAGAAGUCUCAAUCCAGAAUAAAAGAAAAAAAAGAAGAGAAGUGAAUCCAAAAUACAGAAGCCGAUGAAAGAUGUGAACUGCUCAAGACAUGGUUGAAGUCACAAGCUUUGCUUGUCCCGUCUUGAUCCGAAAAGCUGAAGAAGAAAGAACUAGCACCUGCAGCUAGCAAGCAUCAAGGUUCAAAUCAAAAGUCCGCAUGAAGAACCCUUCAAGACUCAAGAUCAAGCUUCAGAAGACUCAUAGAUAGGAAUCUUGUAACUUGUAGCUGAUAGGCUUAGCUAGUUUCUUUUUUAUUUUGACUUUGGUGUAAUAAGGUGCUCAGCAAGCAGUAAAUAGCAGCAACAACAGUGAAAUCACACUUUCUCGGUAGUCCCAGCUACCUAAACUUCCAGAACUACACUGACCUGAUUUCUUUAUAGCCAAGGAUAUGUAGACAACCUCCGAAGCAAGGUUCGGUCAAACUUUUCAAAAAACGCUUCCCAUGGAGUAUAUUGCACGUAAUUGCUCACUUUAUCUUUGCCCGAAAACUUUUCAUAUUUCCGAACAAAGAGGGGCAGCUGUGAGCACCUAACCUUUGCCCUAAUAUAAAAUUACUCCUAAAAAAUCCAAAAAAUAGCUUUAAAUUAUUUUUCUAUAUUUUUAGUUAGUUUGCUUUGUACGUAUUCA
rnacentral:lncRNA from 1 species